rnacentral:rRNA from 1 species
AUUGAACGCUGGCGGCAUGCCUUACACAUGCAAGUCGAACGGUAACAGGUUAAGCUGACGAGUGGCGAACGGGUGAGUAAUGUAUCGGAACGUGCCCAGUCGUGGGGGAUAACUACUCGAAAGAGUGGCUAAUACCGCAUACGACCUGAGGGUGAAAGCGGGGGACCGUAAGGCGUCGCGCGAUUGGAGCGGCCGAUAUCAGAUUAGCUAGUGGGUGGGGUAAAAGCCCACCAAGGCGACGAUCUGUAGCUGGUCUGAGAGGACGACCAGCCACACUGGGACUGAGACAAGGCCCAGACUCCUACGGGAGGCAGCAGUGGGGAAUUUUGGACAAUGGACGCAAGUCUGAUCCAGCCAUGCCGCGUGCGGGAAGAAGGCCUUCGGGUUGUAAACCGCUUUUGUCAGGGAAGAAACGAGUUUCUCUAAUACAGAGACUUAAUGACGGUACCUGAAGAAUAAGCACCGACUAACUACGUGCCAGCAGCCGCCGUAAUAC